UCGGGAAUUUUGGGCAAUGGGGGAAACCCUGACCCAGCAACGCCGCGUGAAGGAUGAAGUAUUUCGGUAUGUAAACUUCGAAAGAAUAGGAAGAAUAAAUGACGGUACUAUUUAUAAGGUCCGGCUAACUACGUGCCAGCAGCCGCGGUAAUACGUAGGGACCAAGCGUUGUUCGGAUUUACUGGGCGUAAAGGGCGCGUAGGCGGCAUGACAAGUCACUUGUGAAAUCUCUGGGCUUAACCCAGAACGGCCAAGUGAUACUGUCGCGCUAGAGUGCAGAAGGGGCAAUCGGAAUUCUUGGUGUAGCGGUGAAAUGCGUAGAUAUCAAGAGGAACACCUGAGGCGAAGGCGGGUUGCUGGGCUGAUACUGACGCUGAGGCGCGAAAGCUAGGGUAGCAAACGGGAUUAGAUACCCCAGUAGUCCCUGAGCGGGCUGGCAAGGCGCAU
rnacentral:rRNA from 1 species